ensembl:lncRNA
GUAAAGAAGUAGCACGUGAUGAGCAGCAACAACAGCAGCCAUCUUUCUGUCCCUUAUAUUCUAUCUAGGGUACCUGCCCUUAGCACUCACAGCCGGGGUGGGGCACCCUUAAUCCUAGUAUCAAACUGUGAAUCAAUCCCAGCAUCACAUUCUUAAUCCCAGCAUGACACACUCUAGAUCCAUCCACUUCCAAAAAGCUACACCUGUGACUACAUGAGGCUUUAGGGGGACAUCUAGAUACAAGCCAUAACAGUUUCUCCCCUCAGACCCUGUAAACCACACAGCAGAGUCAAGUUUUUGAACCUAGGGCCUUGUGUAUGCUAGGCAAGCACUCUACCACUGUACUACAUCCCAGCCCCUUUUACUUUUUUGAGACAAGGUCUUGUUUACUAGGUGGCCUGGAACUUGUGAUUCUCCUUCCUCAGCCCCUUGAGUAGCUGGGAUUAAAGACAUGAGUUACCACUCCUGGCUCAGACUACAUUUGCUAAAUCACUUUUAGAAAGUUAAACAGUUCAACAGAACAUGAAUUAAAUUGACAUUUUCCUUUUAGAUCCAGGAAAGUUGGCAAGUAUCUCUUUGUAAAUGUAGGUUGACAUUCGGGGGUUGCAUUGCUCCCCCUGGUUGAAAUCAGACUUAGGUGGGUUUUGCACUUGAUUUGAAGCAUUUCUUUGGUCUCCAGAGGCUUAGGCUUCUAGUGAUAAGACAUUCUUCAGAUAGAUAUAUGAAGUGUAUGAUUAGCUGGAAAAUGAUCAAGACAUCUAAUAGAUUUGCUCUGGGUAGGCUCUAUUGAAGUCAUUAAUUGCUUAUGUGAACCUUAAAACUAUCUCAGUUGUUACUGUUAGAGUUAUCGCUCUCAUUAUUUGAUAAUUGUCUUUUAAGAAAAUUAGUCAAUCUGUCCAGUUUUUACCUGUGAAGUUUUCCUGAAGGCCCUUUAAUGCUCACAUCAGCAACCACUCCUCAUCCCUUGCACUCUUUCCUAUACUUGCAGUCUGUCUCUUAGCAUUCCUUGGACCCUUCCUCUCAGUCAUUUGCACAACACUGAUUAGCACCUACUGCAGGCAAACGCUGCCAAUGACAAGUUCUGUAAGAUUCAGACCCUGCCAUCAUAAUGACUAAGACUCACCUAGAGCUUUCAUACAUUGUUUUUAUUUAAUCAAUACCAUUCUCCUUUUACAGAAAAGGAAACUGAAGAAGUACUGUAACUUGUAUCACACAGUUUGUACUGCUGGCCUUUGAGCUGAGGACUAGGAAAUAAUAAAGGGUUUGUUCCUGCAAUGACUCUUGGUUCCUUUUGGCAGACACUGUUGGUUUGUCUACCCAGGGGCCAUUCCCACCUCACACGUCCACAUGAACAUGCACACUGACUUCACGCAUUCUUUCUCACAAAUAAUCCCAAGUUUGUUCUGGGGCUGGGUGGCCAUGUACUCCAGCAGAAGCUGGCCCUAAUCCAGCCAAUCUAUUUCUUUCCAGAUUUUUAUUAUGAAAAACAUUAGACAUUAGAAUAUGCCUAUAACCCUAGCACUCAGGAAGGCUAAGGCAGGAGAAUUACAAGUUCAAGCCCAGCCUGAGCAACUCAGCCACUUAGUGAGACCUGUUCUAAAAAUAAAAGAGGCUGGGGAUUGUAGCUAAGUGCUAAGGCCCUGGGUUUAAUCAACAGUACUGCAAAUAAUAAGUACUGUAAAUAAUUAAGACACUUAAAAAAUUAAAAUAGUGCAACAUGUACCACAAUCGCAAUCUAGAGUCAAUUAAUACAUUCAUGUAUUUGCAUUUAUUUGUGUGAUUUUUUUGCCAAACUAUUCACAAAUAAGUUGCAGGCAUCAUAUUUAAUCCUAAGUGCUUCAAUAUGCAUUUCCUUAAAUUUAUGACAGCCUCUUACAUAGCUGUUGUACUCCUAUCACAACUAAGAAAAUUCAAAAUAAUUUCCUUUAUUAAUUGCCCAGCCCACAGAUAAAUUUAUUUGUUUUGGGUUUUUUGUGAGCUAAGAUUUAUUGCAUUGUGUUGACAUUAUUUCUGGAGAAGAGGGGUGGGUAAGAGAAAGGAUUUUCACUUGUUUUUGGUUCUGGGGAUCGAACUCGGGACCUUGCACUUGUGACGCAGGUGAUGGAACCACUGAGCUAAAUCCCCGGCCCCAGGAUUUUCACUUUUUAUCAUAUGUACUUUAGGUGAUAGGAUUACUCAAGAGUGAUAGAAUUACUGCUUUUAAAAAAUAGCUUUAGUGAGAUAUAAUUCGCCUACCAUACAGUGCACUCACUGAAGGUAGACAAUUCAGUAGUUUUAGUUCAUUUUUCAUUCACAGUUGUAUCAGAUACCCUAAUCAAUUUUAGAAAUUUUCAUCAUCCUCAAAAGAACCUUGCACCUACUGUCAGUCACUUCCCACUUCUUCUCAAGCCCCCCAGACCUAAGCCUAGUCAUGAGACCCCUUCAUCAAUGUGAACUUGACUUCUCUGUCCUCAUCCCAGGCUCUCAACAUGUACUGCAGGGAUCACUUUCAAAGAAAUCGCCUUCACACAAGUCUUCAAUCCAGUGUGGUCACUGGACAAGAUCAAAUAUCUUUAGAGAAUUCUGAGGCCAGAUUCCCAGGAAAGCAGACUCUUGAGGUUGCAGAUUUGUGUGCUGAAGCUUUAAUGAGAGAUACUCUUGGGUUAGCACCAUGAAGGGGCUGUGGGAAGCAGAACUGGGUCGAGGAAGAUGUUGAGCUGCGAUGCUGUCAUGACCACAGCCCCAGCCAAUUCUGCAGUGCAUCUGGAGCUCAGAUGGUCCUCUGGAGCUGUUUGUGUCACCCCACCUGGAUGUGGACUGUCCCCGGAGAGGUGAUGCACAACCUUAAACAAAGGCCAUUCCCUUCAGCUGGGGGCUAUUCUCAGAGAAAGUAGUUUGGGAGCCACUGGACAACAAUAUUCCGGAAGUUAGGGAAAUGGAUAUCUUGGUACUAUCGGAGGGUCUGGGCAUAACACCAUGGCAUCUAGUGCUUGGAUUAUUAUAUUGAGUUUUUGAAAGCGUGUGUGAGGACAAGUUAUAAUUAUAUCUGAAUUUCAUUUCAGUAUUAAAGGGAUAGCACAAAACAUUUGUGAUUUUAUUUUUAAAAUUUUUAAUUUUAUUAGUACAUGUUUGCAAUUCAUUCAGUUUACCGUCGUCUUGGGGAGUGGUUACAUACAACAGCUUUUUUUUCAUUCCUUUCCUUUACCUCCCCCUUCCUCCCUCCUCUUCCAAUUCCCCAAUCUCAUUUUUCAUUCUUGUUGAUAUUAUUAAUCUUAGCUCACAUUAUGGCAUAUAAUGUUUACAUUAAUUGAGGUUAUUAGGUUCCUGUACAUGGGACAUCUUUAUUUUAGUUAUUUCCCCUUCCCCUCCUCCUCACGCCUCAUGCUUUUCAGAGUCCAGAGUGCUAACCAUUACACAAUGGAACCCGCCUCCCUCAUGCUUUUUCCCUUGGACUAUUUCCCUAUUUCAAGAGAUCCAUCUCCUUGUUCCCUUCUAGCCAUCCUUUAUUAUUCUCUUUGUACUUUGCCUCACUCAAAUGAGAGAUAUAAUUUAGUAUUUAAGCUUGUCUGUCUGGUUGAUUUCACUCAACAUUAUAUUUUCUAGAUGCAUCGAUUUUCCUAAAAACAUCUCAAAUCUGUCAUUCUUUAUAGCAGAGUAGUAUUCCACUACAUAUAAAUACAUUUUCUUUAUGCAAUUACGUGUUGAUGGGUAUAUGGGCUGUUUCCAGGAUUUAGCUAUUAUGAGUUGUGCUGCUAUAAAAAUUGGUAUGCAUGUAUCACUGUAAUAUGAUGUCUUAAGGUCUGUGGGGAAGAUACCCAGCAGGAGGACUGCUGGGUCAUAUGAAUUUCUAAUUUCUGUUCUUUGAGAAAUCUACAUGAUUUCCAUAAUGGUUUUACUAGAUUGCAUUCCCACCAUCAAUGAAGAGGUGUUCCUUUUUCACCACAGUCUCACUAGCAUUUUUUAUUUUUGAUUUCUUAAUGAUUGCCAUUCUUUCUGGAGUAAGACUGAAUCUCAGCGUUGUUUUAAUUUGCAUUUUUCUAUGGCCAG